CAAUAGCGUAUAUUAAAGUUGUUGCAGUUAAAAAGCUCGUAGUUGGAUUUGUGGCGUACGGUGUGUUCCGGGCACUUGUUGUCUGAGUAACCUGCUGUUGCCAUCCUUGGGUGGAACCUGUGUGGCAUUAGGUUGUCGUGCAGGGGAUGCCCAUCAUUUACUGUGAAAAAAUUAGAGUGUUCAAAGCAGGCUUAUGCCGUUGAAUAUAUUAGCGUAGAAUAAUGAGAUAGGACUUUUUUGCUAUUUUGUUGGUUUGCGCAAAGAGGUAAUGAUUAAUAGGGACAGUUGGGGGUAUUCGUAUUCCAUUGUCAGAGGUGAAAUUCUUGGAUUUUUGGAAGACGAACUACUGCGAAAGCAUUUACCAAGGAUGUUUUCAUUAA
rnacentral:rRNA from 1 species